CCGUCUGGCCGUGCCGGCUCCCAGUUGGGUACCUCCAUUCUCCUCCAAGCAGCCUCUCAUCCUCCGGGGGGCUAGGCGUGCUACCUCUCUUGGGUAAUACAGCCGCCCAGAGGCCAGCAGGCAGAAUUGGCAAGGACAUCUGAGCUCCAGGGUUGCCUGGGGAAGGAAGCAGGUAAGGACUUGAUUUGUUUGGGGCCGAGGGAACUGUCGCCAGGGACCAGCAGCAAAGAGAAGAGCUUGCCUGAUCUUGCCCUCUGGGAGAAGUGCCACACACAGGGGAUCCCCAGGAGGACUGGGGGGCCAGGUACACGUGAUUCCAGGAUCCAGACUAAAGGCCACCCGUCAGCACUUCUCUCACCAAGCACCCACGUGUCUAUUUAAAUUUAACGCCCUCUUUUUUCGGAGUCCAGCUCUCAGACAGCACUCUCACAGCGCAGGAAGUCAAAGCCAAAUGAGCGGUCAUGUGACUCGGCAGCUGAGACUGUGUCCCAGAUCUUGCCACUGGAACUGUCCAUCGGGGACACCACCACUGUGUGGCUGCCACCAGGCUCCAGCUACCAGCGAGCAGGGAGGGGGAGCAGGGAGACAGCCGCCUGCCCUCCGGCUUCCAAGGUAGGAAGGAGCCCCCUCCGCUGUUUACUCGACAACUGCAAAAGAAUCAGGUGCUUGGAUUCCAC